AGAUAUCUACUGGUUCUAGUGCGUCAUCCACGGCACGUACGGUAACAAAAGUUCCUCUCAAUCUUUAUUUCUCGGCAAAACAACAAGAAAAGGGAAAAAGUGAAGAAGGUUUAGGUUUAGAAGCCAAGAAGAUUUUGAGGGAUCGCGCCGUAAGUGCCUUUGCAGCAUGGAUUUACGAUGCAGGGCUUCCUUUCAACUGUGUCAGCUACAAAACUUUUGAUAAAUUCAUUGAGGCCGUAGGACAAUAUGGCCCAGGAAUGAAGCCUACUAGCUAUCAUGAAGUUAGAGUAACUCAUCUUAAAAAAGAGGUGAAGAAGAUAGACCAAAUUAUUGAGGAGCAUAAAGUGGAAUGGAAUAAGUUUGGAUGUUCCACUAUGAUGGAUAAAUGGACAGCACGGAAUGGAAAAAUGAUCAUAAAUGUGUUGGUGAACUCUCCAAGAGGGAGUGUUUUUCUUGAAUCUCACGAUGAUAGCAACUCUUAUACGGAUGGAAGCAAAAUGUACAGCUUGUUUAGAAAGACUAUUGAUAAAAUUGGAAAGGAAAAUGUUGUACAAGUUGUUACAGAUAAUGCUAGUGAGAAUGUUAGCGCGGGGAAGAUGAUGGAAGCUAUGUAUCCAAACAUUUAUUGGACUCCAUGUGCUACCCAUUGUAUCAACUUGAUGUUUGGUGACAUAUUCAAGGAAAACCCAUAUGCUUCCGAUAACUUUAAUACAGUUAUCUUUAAAGCCUUUAACUUUAUUUAUACUUAUGUCCUAUCCUAUUAAGUAUUAACUAUAAAAUUGUAAUUGUUACUUUUACGGUUUUCACUAAGGCCGUCAAGAUAUAUUCUUACAUCAGUUAGAGGCCGUUGUUGUUGAAUUUGAUGAGAAAAUUCACAAAUGAAAGAAAUUUGGUGAGACCGGCCAAGACUAGAUUUCCAACGGCUUUCUUAACUUUGCAUAGUUUUUACUUGCAAAAGAAAAAUUUGAGAAAGCUAGUUCUUUCGAAUGAAUGGAAAGAUAAUAAAUAUGCAAAGGAAGCUGCGGGGAAAGAAACUGCCAAAGUUCUUAUUUCUCCAUCAUUCUGGAAUGACGUCGUUCGGGCUCUUAAAGUUGGUGGUCCUUUGAUUAGGGUGCUUCGUAUGGUGAAUGGGGAGGGAAAACCACCAAUGGGCUAUCUUUAUGAAGCUAUGGAUAGAGCCAAAGAGAGUAUUGCAGCGUCAUUCGAGGGAGAUGUUAGGAAAUAUGAGAAAGUUUUUGAGAUAAUUGAUACCAGGUGGGACAAUCAACUCCAUCGACCUUUGCAUGCAGCAGGCCAUCUUCUAAACCCGGGAUUAUUUUACAAGAACAUUAGAGAUGAAACUUUGGCUUCAGAUGUGUGGAUUGGAUACCAUGCAUGUCUUGAGAAGUUGGUCCCUAAUUCAACGACGAUAGAUCAAAUAGGGGAGGAGUUUGGUAGGUACUCACAACCAGAGGGCCUAUUUGGUUUAUCGGCUGCCAUUAGAGCCAGAGACAUAAGGUCACCAGGUAAUUAACUUUAAUAUAGAUAUCCUUAUAACUUUAAUUUAGUUUAUUUGAUUUACACUUAUUAACUUCUAAAAUAUUUUUCUAUAGUUGAAUGGUGGAAGCAAUUUGGACAUCAAACUCCAAACUUGCAAAAGUUUGCCAUCAAAGUACUAAGCCUAACUUGUAGUGCAUCUGGAUGCGAGAGAAAUUGGAGCGUAUUUGAGCAUAUUCACUCCAAGAAAAGGAAUAGGCUUGAGCUAUCGCGUCUCAAUGAUCUAGUGUAUAUUAAAUACAAUAGAACAUUGAGGUGACGUUAUGAAGCUCGCAAUACCAUUGAUCCAAUUUUGUUGGACAACAUGGACGAUGCAAAUGAAUGGUUAACUGAAGCACCCCAAAAUCAUGAAGAUGAACAAGUGUAUGAAGGAGAUGAUCUUGAUUGGGGUACUGUUUCUAUGGCGGUUGGAGUUGAGAAAUAUCUAUGGACUUAGAGGGAGUUCUUCAAGUUACAAGGGAAAGGGAGUAGCAAGUUCAAGCGGGUCCCUAAUUGAUGAAGAGUACGAGGAUGGACUUAGAGGGAGUUCUUCAAGUUACAAGGGAAAGGGAGUAGCAAGUUCAAGCGGGUCCCUAAUUGAUGAAGAGUCCGAGGAUGAAGAAGAUGAUAGCCAAUAUAAUGCUAACAUUCAUGAAGUUGUAGAAUUUGAAAAUCUUGAAGAAGAAUAGAUGUUGCUUGUUUUAGAGUUUAGACUAUUAGACUUUAAUUUAUGAAUCUACUAUGAGUCUAUGACUAUCUAUUGAGUCUUUAAUUUUUGAAUGAUAUAUUUAUUAAUAUAUUAUUGUUAUUGAGUUUUUA